rnacentral:rRNA from 1 species
AUGAACGCUAGCUACAGGCUUAACACAUGCAAGUCGAGGGGCAGCAUGAACUUAGCUUGCUAAGUUUGAUGGCGACCGGCGCACGGGUGAGUAACACGUAUCCAACCUGCCGAUGACUCGGGGAUAGCCUUUCGAAAGAAAGAUUAAUACCCGAUGGCAUAGUUCUUUCGCAUGGUGGAACUAUUAAAGAAUUUCGGUCAUCGAUGGGGAUGCGUUCCAUUAGGUUGUUGGCGGGGUAACGGCCCACCAAGCCUUCGAUGGAUAGGGGUUCUGAGAGGAAGGUCCCCCACAUUGGAACUGAGACACGGUCCAAACUCCUACGGGAGGCAGCAGUGAGGAAUAUUGGUCAAUGGACGAGAGUCUGAACCAGCCAAGUAGCGUGAAGGAUGACUGCCCUAUGGGUUGUAAACUUCUUUUAUACGGGAAUAAAGUGAGGCACGUGUGCCUUUUUGUAUGUACCGUAUGAAUAAGGAUCGGCUAACUCCGUGCCAGCAGCCGCGGUAAUACGGAGGAUUCGAGCGUUAUCCGGAUUUAUUGGGUUUAAAGGGAGCGUAGGCGGACGCUUAAGUCAGUUGUGAAAGUUUGCGGCUCAACCGUAAAAUUGCAGUUGAUACUGGGUGUCUUGAGUACAGUAGAGGCAGGCGGAAUUCGUGGUGUAGCGGUGAAAUGCUUAGAUAUCACGAAGAACUCCGAUUGCGAAGGCAGCUUGCUGGACUGUAACUGACGCUGAUGCUCGAAAGUGUGGGUAUCAAACAGGAUUAGAUACCCUGGUAGUCCACACAGUAAACGAUGAAUACUCGCUGUUUGCGAUAUACAGUAAGCGGCCAAGCGAAAGCGUUAAGUAUUCCACCUGGGGAGUACGCCGGCAACGGUGAAACUCAAAGGAAUUGACGGGGGCCCGCACAAGCAGUGGAGUAUGUGGUUUAAUUCGAUGCAACGCGAAGAACCUUACCAGGCCUUGACAUCCCGAUGACCGUCCUAGAGAUAGGGCUUCUCUUCGGAGCAUCGGUGACAGGUGGUGCAUGGUUGUCGUCAGCUCGUGUCGUGAGAUGUUAGGUUAAGUCCUGCAACGAGCGCAACCCCUGUGAUUAGUUACCAACAGGUAAAGCUGGGAACUCUAAUCAGACUGCCGGUGAUAAAUCGGAGGAAGGUGGGGAUGACGUCAAAUCAGCACGGCCCUUACGUCCGGGGCUACACACGUGUUACAAUGGGGGGUACAGAAGGCAGCUACACGGCGACGUGAUGCUAAUCCCUAAAGCCUCUCUCAGUUCGGAUUGGAGUCUGCAACCCGACUCCAUGAAGCUGGAUUCGCUAGUAAUCGCGCAUCAGCCACGGCGCGGUGAAUACGUUCCCGGGCCUUGUACACACCGCCCGUCAAGCCAUGAAAGCCGGGGGUACCUGAAGUGCGUAACCGCAAGGAGCGCCCUAGGGUAAAACUGGUGAUUGGGGCU